ACCUGCGGAAGGAUCAUUGUCGUGACCCUAACCAAAGUAGACCGUGAACUUGUUAUCCAUGCCUCCACGUGAUAGGUCUUGCACCUGUCUCUUGGAUCCGGAUUCCAACCUUCUUUAGAGGGUUUGGACUCCAAAAAGAACCCACGGCGCUGUAUGGCGUCAAGGAACACAGAUUGGGCAUAGGUGUCAACUCGCAUGCGGGUUGCACCCUAGUGCAAUAAUUUUAUGUUAAUCCACAUGACUCUCGGCAACGGAUAUCUUGGCUCUUGCAUCGAUGAAGAACGUAGCAAAAUGCGAUACCUGGUGUGAAUUGCAGAAUCCCGUGAACCAUCGAGUUUUUGAACGCAAGUUGCGCCCGAGGUCUUUUGGCCGAGGGCACGUCUGCCUGGGCGUCACGUCAAUAGACACUCCGUAUCAAUCAUGUUGAGGAAGUGGUAUUUGGCUCCCCGUGUCUGUAGGUGCGGUGGGCCAAAGUUGGGGCUGUCGGCGGUGCCGAUCACAGCACAAGGUGGAUGACAAAUGUUGUUCUCGGUGCUAUGAUGCGGACCGCUUUCGGUGAUGUGCCCUGUGCAUCCAUUUACUGAGGCGUAAGUAACUCGGACCGCGACCCCAGGUCAGUCGGGACUACCCGCUGAAUUUAAGCAUAUCAAUAAGCGG
rnacentral:rRNA from 1 species